AGCCGUGAGUUAUGCACAAAGCGAACUAUUCUUUCGCCUUUUACUAAAGAAUACUGUGUGCAUGUCUUAUUAAACGGCAUACGCCUAUUUUUGGAAGAGUUCUCUUAAUUGAGAGCU